rnacentral:lncRNA from 1 species
CCUCAGAGCGAAGUAAGCGUUUCUUGUUUUGGUUUUCUUUUCCUUCCUUCCUCACAUAGUUCUAUUAUUUGACUCCGUCGAUGCAGUACAGGGUAAAGAUGCUUCUGCUCCUGCUGCUGCUGCUGCCCCUGCUCGUGCUCCCGUUUGUGCCGCUGCCGCAUUCCGUUUUCCUGGAUUUGGUUCGUUUCUCAAGGAUCCACAACAAACCAGAGAAGGUGGUGCGUCACUUAAUCUCGAUUUCCGUGGCGCUCUUAGCAACUUCUAACACAUUUUUGCAGCUCAUGCGCUUGGCGUUCACACCACACAAAGCGUGCGGCUCACCUUUUCCUCUUUGUACAACGAGGCGACAUAAAAAGAAACCGACUCAACAGCGUUUAAUCGAGAUUGACAACCAUGCCAAGGCUGUUUGCGGCACAAAGAU